AAUAUUGGACAAUGGGCACAAGCCUGAUCCAGCCAUGCCGCGUGAGUGAUGAAGGCACUAGGGUUGUAAAGCUCUUUCAACGGAGAAGAUAAUGACGGUAACCGUAGAAGAAGCCGCGGCUAACUUUGUGCCAGCAGCCGCGGUAAUACGAAGGGGGCUAGCGUUGUUCGGAAUUACUGGGCGUAAAGCGCACGUAGGCGGAUUGGUCAGUUAGGGGUGAAAUCCCAGGGCUCAACCCUGGAACUGCCUUUAAUACUGCCGGUCUAGAGUUCGAGAGAGGUGAGUGGAAUUCCGGGUGUAGAGGUGAAAUACGUAGAUAUUCGGAGGAACACCAGUGGCGAAGGCGGCUCACUGGCUCGAUACUGACGCUGAGGUGCGAAAGCGUGGGGAGCAAACAG
rnacentral:rRNA from 1 species